AUACGGAGGGUGCAAGCGUUAAUCGGAAUUACUGGGCGUAAAGCGCGCGUAGGCGGUUUGAUAAGUCGGAUGUGAAAUCCCCGGGCUCAACCUGGGAAUUGCAUUCGAUACUGUCAGGCUAGAGUGUGGUAGAGGGAAGUGGAAUUUCCGGUGUAGCGGUGAAAUGCGUAGAUAUCGGAAGGAACACCAGUGGCGAAGGCGGCUUCCUGGACCAACACUGACGCUGAGGUGCGAAAGCGUGGGGAGCAAACAGGAGUAGAAACCCUAGUAGUCC
rnacentral:rRNA from 1 species